UAAUCAUAGAAGUAAGUCGGCAAAAAUUUGUUGCUAGUCCUUAUAUAUAUGAGUUUGGCAUUUAAGAAAAAAAAAAGUGGGAGGAGAGAACGAAAAGAAAAGGGGAAACAAAGAAGAAACAACGAGAGUCUUUAAGCUAUCUAAAUUAUAGAGUUAUCUAGAUUGGUUUGGUGAAGGAAGGAGGAGAUCGAAGAGGGGAUUUCAAUAAAGAAACUCGAAUACUGAUUCCAACAAAAAUGACGAGACAAUUUGGGUUGCCCCCGGCGUCGUCGCGGCAGCCGCUGGUUGACAACGACUUCUAAUCGCGUGGCCGGGGGAGCGAUGGCGGAUUGCGCGGCGGUGGCCUGCUGCUGCCCGUGCGGGGUUCUGAACUUGACUGUGCUGGCGGUGAACAAGGUGUCGGCAGGGCUGUGCAGGAAGGCUCUGCGGAAGCAGCGGCGGCUGCUGAAGAAGGGGAUUGUGCAGCCCACGCGGCGGCGACGACGACGGUGACUACUUCUUCCGGCUCGACAGCUCCGUGAGCAGCAGCAGCGUCUCCACCGCCUUCGAUUUGUCGCCGUACGAGAACCGAAUACCUCCGGCAGAGCGAAACCUCUGCUUCCGCAGAGCCUUUUGUAAUUAUUUUUUAAUUCAGUUUAUUCAGUUUCAUUGCCGCAGAGCGAAACUGAAUUGGAAUUUGAGCUAUUUUUCAAUUAUUUUGGGGUCAGUUUCAUUAUUUGGAAUUGGAUCCGUUUCGAAA